GGACAGCUAACUUGCGCAUGCUCCAGCACGUGCAGUAAUUUGUCCUGCCAUUUUGUUUUUUGUGCCCACUCGUCGCUUUUAGAGCUCUUAAAAUCAACUGUCCUCCACUCAAAUGCCAAAGAUACACGUGGAAGUCAGUUUUGUCUCAAGUAAGUUAUGCUUGAUUUCUCAAUUUGCUGGUAUGUAGGUUUAAGAAAAACUUUUUUAACAUUCUCUUAAGUGAUCAAUGCAUCUAUAAUUCUAUUUUUUUUCCUUUAAUCCUUUAAUAGUUAUACUCCUAAAAAACAGUUAAGACUAUACUAGGAGUUGAAAAAGAAAAUACAAUAUGUAAAUACAAAA